rnacentral:rRNA from 1 species
GUGAGGAAUAUUGGUCAAUGGGCGAGAGCCUGAACCAGCCAAGUCGCGUGAAGGAUGAAGGUUUUAUGAAUUGUAAACUUCUUUUGCAGGGGAAUAAAGUACGGUACGUGUACCGUUUUGUAUGUACUCUGCGAAUAAGGAUCGGCUAACUCCGUGCCAGCAGCCGCGGUAAUACGGAGGAUCCAAGCGUUAUCCGGAUUUAUUGGGUUUAAAGGGUGCGCAGGCGGGUGGAUAAGUCAGCGGUGAAAGUUUGCAGCUUAACUGUAAAAUUGCCGUUGAAACUGUCGAUCUUGAGUGCAAAUGAGGUAAGCGGAAUUUGUUGUGUAGCGGUGAAAUGCUUAAAUAUAACACAGAACACCGAUUGAGAAGGCAGCUUACUGGGCUGCAACUGACGCUCAUGCACGAAAGCGUGGGGAUCAAACAGGAUUAGAAACCCGGGUAGUCC